AUACGGAGGAUGCGAGCGUUAUCCGGAUUUAUUGGGUUUAAAGGGAGCGUAGGCGGACUAUUAAGUCAGCUGUGAAAGUUUGCGGCUCAACCGUAAAAUUGCAGUUGAUACUGGUCGUCUUGAGUGCAGUAGAGGUAGGCGGAAUUCGUGGUGUAGCGGUGAAAUGCUUAGAUAUCACGAAGAACUCCGAUUGCGAAGGCAGCUUACUGGACUGUAACUGACGCUGAUGCUCGAAAGUGUGGGUAUCAAACAGGAUUAGAUACCCUGGUAGUCCACACAGUAAACGAUGAAUACUCGCUGUUUGCGAUAUACGGCAAGCGGCCAAGCGAAAGCAUUAAGUAUUCCACCUGGGGAGUACGCCGGCAACGGUGAAACUCAAAUGAAUUGGCGGGG
rnacentral:rRNA from 1 species